rnacentral:tRNA from 1 species
GCCAUCGUGGUAUAACGGUAGAACACUCAUGGCAUAUUCGAAAGGUCCAGGUUCGAGUCCUGGCUAGGGCA